rnacentral:lncRNA from 1 species
AUUUCUAAAAAAUUUACAAACAUGAUAGGAGGAAAAAUGGGCUAUAUUACGUAUUUAUUUUGACUUUGCGGGAUUGACUUGCAUUUUAUGGAUUUGAAGGGUAAACUUGCAAAAAAUGGCGAGUUUGAGGGUUUAUUUCCAGAAAGCAUACUAAUGAAAUGCAUUUGCUAUAAACAGCUUAAGAAUACUUUGCAAGGCAAUAGUUUUAUAUGUAUAUACAAUUUAAAAAAAAAAAGAAACUUCAUAUUUUUCAGAAAAGGACGAGUCAAUCGUAACAGCUUCGUAGCCACUCCUGCAACUGGGGUUGGAUUAGUUCUGCUUUAAAAUUUACUAAUUAGAUCUCGGUUUCAACCUGAAUAUAUCUGAAACUGGGAACCUUAACACCAUAUAUUCCCCCUUUAGUACCCAAACCUUAAUUUAUUUCUACUUUGCUAAAGAUUAUAAAACCUUGUGCUUACCAAUUUAAAUUAUAUCACUUUUUGCUGGUUUUCUUGUCUAUACUUUCUUAUUUUGGUUUAUCUAUUUUAGGUAUAAUGUUUUAUAUAAAAUUUUAUGAAAUAAUUUGGAUAAACUCUUCCAACAUAUAUUUCAGGUAUUUCGGGUAUGCAAUAACUAUGAGCAAUUAUUUCUAGUUCAUUAUUGGCUUCGGGUAUUUCAAAUAUAUACGGACAAUCCAUCUUUUCCAUGAAACCAAUAUUUCUUUAGUUUUUUUAUCUGGAAAAUAACCUAAAAAGCUAUUUGAUUUGCAUAAUAUCUGAAUAUAUAUUGUUUUCCAUGUUCAAAUUUGAAAUAUAUCUAUUUUGUAUGAAUAAAUACUGUUUUCGUGCAAUUAGUUUUUGAAAAAAUAUAUAUUUUGUAUAACUUUAGACCUUAACAAAAGAUCUAUUGUAGCAAACUAGUUAAGUUAUCUAUUUAGAUAUAUUUCCUUAUUAAAAGCCUAGCAACAGAAAAUCUUGUUAUAUUUGAAACAUAUAUAUUUUGUUAAAUUUACUUCCUAACAAAUGAUCCGUUGGAGCACACUGGUUAAAUUCAUAUACAUUGAUGUAUUUCCUGGUUCAAAGCCCGGCAACGGAAAAUAUUUAUUUUUGAAUUAAAAUUUGCAAUUAUCUUUUAAAUAUAUACAAUUUCCUAUUAUUUACAUAUUAACGAAAGAUCCAUUAUAGCAAACUAGGUAAGUUCAUCUAUUUUAAUGUAUGUUUGGGUCAAGCCCGUCAAUCUUUUUAAUUUAAAAUAUGAGUUUAUCCUUUUUUUUACAAAAAUAUUACAUAUAAAAUUACAUCGUAACAGAAGAUUUGUGCUAUAAUUCUUGUUAAGUUCAUCUACAUUGGGGAAAAUCAACCCAAACUAUUUCCCGAAGGUAUUUUCAUUCCCAAACUCGCGUGCUCUGAAUUUUACAACCCAAACCAGCUUUCAAUUCAAAUAACCAACCUGAACUAUAUCAAAUUUUGUCGAUUUCAACCUCGACGUUAACAGUAUCCUUGCCCAUCUUGAAGAUUUGGAAAUUAAGCUUAAGCUUAAGCUUAAUUUCUCUUGGUUUUUACAGAAGCGUAAGCUUGAUUAUCCAAAUAUUCAAGAUGGGCAAGGAUACUGUUAACGUCAAGGUUGAAAUCGACAAAAUUUGAUGUGGUUCAGGUGGGUUAUUUGAAUUGAAAGCUGGUUUGGGUUGUAAAAUUCAGAGUACGUGAGUUUGGGUAUGAAAAUAUCUUCGGGAAAUAGUUUGGGUUGAUUUUCCCCGUUUUCCCGUUAAGUUCAUCUACAUUGAUGUAUUUCCGGGUACAAACCCGAGCAACGGAAAACCUUUUUUACUUCUAAAAACUAAUUUCUUUUUGAAUAUAUAUUAUUUCAUUUAAAUUUACCUCCUAACAAAAGAUUCAUUGUACCACACUAGUUCAGUUCAUCUACUUUAAUGUAUUUCCUAGUUCAAAUCCCAAUAACCUUAGUUAUCUAAAAUAUGUAAUUAUCUUUUUGAAAUAUAUAUAUCCUAUAAAAUUACCUCCUUACAAAAGAUUUGUGGUAUAACACUUACCAUAAAACGACUCAUCAGCGCAAAAGCUCAUCGUGGAAGGCUCCUUGAAAAGCACGUUAUCUGGAAUACCUUCUGAAACACUCGAGGAUUCCUAUGUAUUUAUCAUUGCUUUGUAACUGUUAAAAUAUAUGCUUCUGACCCUCUAGAUUUGUGUUCCUCUUGCUCUAUAAUUGUCUUCAGGUUGAAUAUGAUCCAAGAGGAUGAUUGGUUAUGGUUUUGGUCUAGCCAUAAUUUGAGAGAAGUGUUGAGACAAGGUCCUAAUGUAUAGAGAAAGUAUAUUAAAUCUCUACACAAUUGGUGUUUGGAAAUCUUGAGUUUGUGUGGCCCAAAAUUUAGAAAGUUGGAAUCUUUUUGAACAAAGGUUGAGAAGAACUAAUUAGUCCUAAGGCGUUAGAUAAAUAAACAACUUAUUAACCUAAUUGUUUGCUCGCACUCGAAGCACUAGAUUAAACAAACAUGGCUAACUAGUUAAGUUUAGUAAAAUUAUUUAAUCCCUCAUAUAUUUUAAUACAGUCGUAUAUUUUUGCAACUCUACCCUUUAUAUCAAAAAAAAUGCAAAAUAAUUAUACUAAGUCAAGAAUAAUAUGCAAUACAACUCUUAUAAGAGAGAAAUUUAUUUUUCUAAACGACUUUAUGCUCACAUACAUUUUCUUUUGAAAAAUCUGAAGAUAUAUUUGAACUCCUAGUCACGAAGGCUUUGAUUUGAUAUGUUAUUUCUAAAAAAUUUACAAACAUGAUAGGAGGAAAAAUGGGCUAUAUUACGUAUUUAUUUUGACUUUGCGGGAUUGACUUGCAUUUUAUGAAUUUGAAGGGUAAACUUGCAAAAAAUGGCGACUUUAAGGGUUUAUUUCCAGAAAGCAUACUAAUGAAAUGCAUUUGCUAUAAACAGCUUAAGAAUACUUUGCAAGGCAAUAGNNNNNNNNNNNNNNNNNNNNNNNNNNNNNNNNNNNNNNNNNNNNNNNNNNNNNNNNNNNNNNNNNNNNNNNNNNNNNNNNNNNNNNNNNNNNNNNNNNNNUAAAAAAAACAAGAAACUUCAUAUUUUUCAGAAAAGGACGAGUCAAUCGUAACAGCUUCGUAGCCACUCCUGCAACUGGGGUUGGAUUAGUUCUGCUUUAAAAUUUACUAACUAGAUCUCGGUUUCAACCUGAAUAUAUCUGAAACUGGGAACCUUAAC